UAGGCCAUCUGCUUAGGUGUUCAGACUGACACCCACUGCCAUGGGAAAUUAUAGAGACCCGGGAAAUCUGACUAUCAGAGGAGAGCUAUUGCCAAAUGGAUCAAACAUCAGAACUUGUUCUUGCUGGCUUCUUCCUCCACUACCACCACACCACGACCACCAAAACCAGCAAAUUCCAGUCUCAAAGUUGCAAGUCUUGACCGCAUUUCAGGGCACAGGAAACGAAAUC
rnacentral:lncRNA from 10 species